rnacentral:tRNA from 1 species
CCAGAGGGUAACCUAAACGCCCAAGGUAGUCAACUUACAAUUGAAAAAUGUUCAACCAUGGACCCCCCUGA